CGUUCCUCUGGCCCUUCUUUGGUCUUUCAGCAAGCCAUGCAAGCCCACCGAGCAGCAACAUCAUUUGCAAAGCGUGCCUAACUUUCAAUCCACCCUCAACAACCCACGCACAUCGAGUAAAGCAGCGGGCUUAAUAUUUUUGUGACGUUCCUCUGGCCCUUUUUUGGUCUUUCAGCAAGCCAUGCAAGCCCACCGAGCAGCAACAUCAUGCGCAAAGCGUGCCUCACUUUCAAUCCACCCUCAACAACCCACUCACAUCGAGUAAAGCAGCCUGCUUAAUAUUUUUGUGACGUUCCUCUGGCCCUUCUUUGGUCUUUCAGCAAGCCAUGCAAGCCCACCGAGCAGCAACAUCAUUUGCAAAGCGUGCCUAACUUUCAAUCCACCCUCAACAACCCACGCACAUCGAGUAAAGCAGCGGGCUUAAUAUUUUUGUGACGUUCCUCUGGCCCUUUUUUGGUCUUUCAGCAAGCCAUGCAAGCCCACCGAGCAGCAACAUCAUGCGCAAAGCGUGCCUCACUUUCAAUCCACCCUCAACAACCCACUCACAUCGAGUAAAGCAGCCUGCUUAAUAUUUUUGUAAAAGGCGAAGAAAAUUGUUCCGUCAACAAGCAAGGGGAAGGGGGCGUGGCACCCUCCCCUACAGAGAGCAGGUCCCCCAUCAACAGGAAACAUGGAACGAACGCGGAACGAACUGCUGCGAAAUGAAAACAAGGAAAAGUAGGCAGCACGCCGACGAUGCGCACCAAAAGGA